UCGAGGGAUAAGCCUUCGGGCUAAGACCGGCGCACGGGUGCGUAACGCGUAUACAAUCUGCCUUUUAUCCGGGGGAUAGCCCGAAGAAAUUUGGAUUAAUACCCUAUGGUAUAAGAGCACGGCAUCGUGCACUUAUUAAAGCUACGGCGGUAAAAGAUGAGUAUGCGUUCUAUUAGCUAGUUGGAGAGGUAACGGCUCCCCAAGGCGACGAUAGAUAGGGGUUCUGAGAGGGAUGUCCCCCACACUGGUACUGAGAUACGGACCAGACUCCUACGGGAGGCAGCAGUGAGGAAUAUUGGACAAUGGUCGGAAGACUGAUCCAGCCAUGCCGCGUGCAGGAAGACGGCCUUAUGGGUUGUAAACUGCUUUUGCAGGGGAAGAAUAAGGAGUACGUGUACUUUGAUGACGGUACUCUGCGAAUAAGCAUCGGCUAACUCCGUGCCAGCAGCCGCGGUAAUACGGAGGAUGCGAGCGUUAUCCGGAAUCAUUGGGUUUAAAGGGUCCGUAGGCGGGCUAUUAAGUCAGAGGUGAAAGCGCUCAGCUCAACUGAGCAACUGCCUUUGAAACUGUUAGUCUUGAAUGGUUGUGAAGUAGUUGGAAUGUGUAGUGUAGCGGUGAAAUGCUUAGAUAUUACACAGAACACCGAUAGCGAAGGCAUAUUACUAACAAUUAAUUGACGCUGAUGGACGAAAGCGUGGGGAGCGAACAGGAUU
rnacentral:rRNA from 1 species